CAGCCGCCGCGGGAAUACGGAGGGUGCAAGCGUUAAUCGGAAUUACUGGGCGUAAAGCGCGCGUAGGUGGUUUGUUAAGUUGGAUGUGAAAUCCCCGGGCUCAACCUGGGAACUGCAUCCAAAACUGGCAAGCUAGAGUAUGGUAGAGGGUGGUGGAAUUUCCUGUGUAGCGGUGAAAUGCGUAGAUAUAGGAAGGAACACCAGUGGCGAAGGCGACCACCUGGACUGAUACUGACACUGAGGUGCGAAAGCGUGGGGAGCAAACAGGAUUAGAUACCCCCGUAGUCCCUGUCUCUUAUAC
rnacentral:rRNA from 1 species